rnacentral:lncRNA from 1 species
AAGGCAUUGGCCUUUCCCUUUCUGUUUGGGCCACUGGCUGGGCCAGGCCUGUCUUCUCUGUUGAUUCAGUCUGCCGCAGAGCCCUGACUCAUGGGUCCAGCCCAGCCAGUGUCUGACCUGGGGCUCAUCCGGGAAUGAAGCUCCUGCUGUGUGCAGUACAGUGGAAGGGCAAGAAUGCCCAGGCCCCCAGGGCCCAGAGGAAGACAUUAAUCCAAGACCCAAAUAUGGAGGCAGAACCAUUAGUUAUUGCAGUUGAGUAUUAUUAUAUAAUUUACGAUGUCUUUCUUUCAUAAAUGCUGUCCUAUAUAAUCCAUGGAACAACCCUGAGAAAUUGUCCCCAUUUUACAGAAAAGGCAGCUGCUAUGGCUUCGGAGCAAGAACUCAUUUCGGUAACAGUCAUUAGCUGGUGCUGGGUCCUUUUGAAUCACUCCUCCCUUGCAAUGCAGCCUUGUUGGAUAUAACCAGCAUGCAGUCAUCAUGCAGAGAUUGCCCCCAGCAUCUCUCCAGCUCUUCCUCGGUGUGAAGGUAGAGUGACUUUGCUCAGUUCUGGGCUCUGCCAUAUCAUCCAUGAAUGCGGUCAAGAGACCUCAAAGAGCAUGUUGGGAAAGGGGCCUAUUGCAGGGCUUGGUUCCCAGGAGGGGCUUUAUUGAUAUUAGCAUUUGUUCUUCCCUUUCUUCCAUAAGUUCCCACCUUUCUCACCUGCCUCUUCUUCCUUUAUUCCUAUUCCCCACCCCUACCACUGUUUUAGAUCAUGGGGAACCUCCUGGUUGGGCUUAGCUCAGCUCCAAAAAGCAAACAGACAUCUUAAGGUCAACUUCCUUUCCAGCUCAGAGAGAAUGAACCCAGAUACAAGGCAGCUCUUGUUUUUAAAUGGAGUGAAGCUUAAGUGGCUGCAGAGAAGCCACAAAGUGUGCUGCAGAGAAGCCACCAGCCUGGAGAGUAUGAGUUCUCAUCUUGCCUUGUCUUCUGACUUGCUGUGUGGCUUUGGGCACACUCCUCAAUGUCUCUGAACCUCAAGAUCCCUUUGGGUAAUUGGGAACUGCCCUUCAGAGAUGGGAUGAAAGAGUUAAUAACCUCAUAAUGAAACAGGCAAGUCCACCAGGCUAAUAAGGAGAGGAAGAAGAGGCGGCAGCUCAAGGAGGCCAAAGGAACAGAAAGCUCGGCCAGCUCCUGUCUGCCUCCCUUGCCAAGCAUCCUGUCCCUGGGGCCUGAUUUCUCUCUUCCUCUCUGCAAUGCUGACUUGGCAUUGACUUGCUCUGGAAAGAAGUCAGUAAGGGCAGAGCUGGAAUGACUGGAGUGUGGACAAAGAGAGAAAAGCAGGGGCACACAAAAGAGGGUGACAGCUUCAGUCUUCCCUGGAGUCCAAGGCCCUGGCUUCCCAUGGUCUCAUAGGAAAACCUAGAGCCAGAGAUGGUGCUGUUGCUAGGUGAUGGGAUAAACAGGUCCUUUGAGGCUUGGGCAGGUGGCAGUUAGGUUGCUGAGGCCAGUAAUAAGCAGUGGGGAAAACCCAAGGGAGGGGGUGGGGAAAGUUCUUCGGGUAAGCCAAGAGACCCAGAGGUGCUUGCCGUCAGCUUGCAGAGUGGGGCCCGGCCACAGUGCUCCUCUGAGGGAGCCUCACUCUGCUCUCUGACCCCAGAACCUGCAUCCCUCCCCAAAACCAACGGCAAGCAGCUGUGUCCUCUCCACUUGCAGCUGGAAUAGGCAGUUUGAUGCCUUUGCUGCGCUGGCAACAGGGCUCUCUCUCUUGGAUGUCUCAGCCAUGACAGGUGAGGACUCCAUCAGCACCUUGGGCCUGAUCCUUGGCGUGGGGCUCUUGCUGCUGCUCGUGUCCAUCCUCGGCUACAGCCUGGCCAAGUGGUACCAGCGCGGGUACUGCUGGGAGGGGCCUAAUUUUGUCUUCAACUUAUAUCAAAUCCGGAACCUGAAGGAUCUGGAGAUGGGUCCACCCUUCACCAUCAGUGGUCACAUCAGCAGCACAGAUGGUGGCUACAUGAAGUUCUCCAACGGGCUAGUCUGAUGCAGAGACAGCAACUUGUGAAGCCCUGGGGAGGGGUUUGGGGAUCUUCUCCAAGCCGGCGUCCUUACCUUCACACUAAGGGCUAUGAGCUCAUUCACUCUCACAUGGGAAUCCCUAACCCUGAGCCUCACAGAUCCAGGCCAGCCUUGCCAAUUGCUGAAAGACCUUUUCUUGGAUGACUUGUCAUUAUUAAGCCAGAACUCAUCAUCUCCCCUCUCCCUCCACACCUCUGUCUCCCUUCCAUGUCCAUAUUUCGCUUUUCUCAUCAUCGGGUUCAAGUGUGACUAGCACUUCUGAGACCUCCUUCUUUCACUCCAGCCUGUUGCCCCAUCUUGAUAAUGCUUCCUUUAAAAUGUCUUUGAGUCUGUCCCUUUCUCUCUGUUCCCACUGCCCCUGCUCAAUACUGUCAUUUGAUUAGACUAUUGUAUAAGCCUCUCUUAUGAACUGAAUAUUUUUGUCUUCCCCAAAUUCAUGUUGAAGCUGUCACUCCCAAUGUGACGGUAUUUGGAGGUAAAGCCUCUGGGAGGUAAUUGGUUUAGAUGAGGUCAUGAGGAUGGGGCCUCCAUGAUGGGAUUAGUGCCCUUGUAAGAAAGUGGAAGAGAGACCAGAGUUCUUUAUCUCCACCGUGUAAGGCCACAGCAAGAAGGAGGCCGUCUCCAAGCCAGGAAGAGAGCCCUCCCAGGGAACUCACUCAGCUGGCACCUUGAUCCUGCACUUCCCCACCUCCAGAACUGUGAGAGAUAAAUGUCUGUUGUUUAAGCCACCCAGUCCAUGGUGUUUUGUUAUAGUAGCCCAGCCUAAGACAGCCUCCUACCCUGUUUCUCUGCCUCCUGCCUCAUCCUUCAUGUGGAAUACUAGUUUCUUUCACAUCACUUAUCACUGAUUGUAGUAAUACGUUUGUUGUGUUUAUUUGCUUGGUGUUUAUCUUCAUAACCAGAUGACAGGCUCCAUGAAGCCACACUUGUUUGGUUCACCACUCUGUACCCAGGGCUGCACACCAUGUCCAACACAUAACAAGUGCUUCGUAAUGUUUUUUGACAAAAUGAAAUGCUGACUACAAUAAAAGUCUCCAGCCAGGUCUCUUUGCCUCCUGCCCCAUCCUUUCUGAUUCAUGUCUGAUGCUUUGGAUAGAGCCAUAUUCUUAAAACACAAGUUUUAUCCUACCCAGUCCUUCUUCGGCAGAGUGUUUAUUGGGUCCCACAACCCUUUUUGGAGGUUUAUGGGAAAUUAAGUGAAGUUAGGAUCGAGAUGAUAGUGGGAAAAUGUGCUGUGUGUCAUUAAUAACAAUGCAUUUAAUUUUAAAUUGGGGUUUACUUCAAACCCAAAACUGUGGGUUUGCUUUUUUAACCCAUGAGCACAACAGGAAAUGAAUGAGUCAAGCUUCCUAGUAUCUAGGGUCCUCUAGGUUGAGGCUUGAUCAAAUCAGCCCUGACUGCCCAGACCUGCCACUUAGGCAGCAGACCUGUCAGUGGUCCCAGGUGGUCACAGCCUACAGCUUCCCUUGCUGUGCUGUUCCCAUGUGGGGCUCAGAGACCUUCCACCCAGCAGAGCAGCAUGGGCUCUGGGGGUGGGACCCAGCUUCCUAGGGACUGUGUGUCUUCUGUGAAAGUGUGAACACUGAGGCCGGGGGAUGAAUAUAUGCUGGGUAGACAAGGCACACCCUGACUAUAGCUAUUUACAAAGUUGGGAAAACACAGUUUAUUGAAUUUCCUCUUCACUCAAUGGUGGCCCAUUUACCCCCUCUCUGUACUAAGAGGAAGUUCCAUUAGCUCACACAAAGACAGCAUUACGCAUUCCUCAGCUUGGAAAAGCCCUUGAAGGAGAUUGCUCAGUUGAAGAACAGCUGGGGCCUUCUGUUGGGGGCUGUAAUCCAAAUUCCCAAGAAAUCUGCAAGUGUCUCAUCAGCCCCGGCUGCUUGGAAGGACUCGCUCAGUUUCUCCCAAGGGCCUGUCUGUGGUGAGUGGUUACAGAGCAGCCUCAAAGCAGAGAUGAACCAGCGCAAACUCCUACUCAUUCCACAGAAACGGAGCAGGCAGGGCCUGCACCAAGGGCUGUGUCUUCUGACUUCCUUCUGUCCUGCAAGCUGCUCUUUGAUCUGUCGUAUCCAACCAAACUGGCUGCAGUUCCUUGAAUGUAAUUCCUUUUACUCUCUGAAUCUUUAUAUUUAGACCUUAGGGGCCUUUUCCAUGGGGAAUAAGCCAUCGCUAACACCUCAUUUCCAGGAGAAAGUGACCAACACUACUUUUCUUUCCAAUAUUGACAAGGAGGGCUCUAGGGCAAAAGCCUGAGCAGGUCUGAAAUGGCGUGAUAUUAGUCAAGUUCUCUGAAGAUGAUAGGAUCAGCACUUCCUCAGAACUAGUUAUUUUCUCAGAAUGAACUGGGUGAGGCAAGAUUGGAGAUGACACAGGGGAAAAGAGGUGAGGUGUCCCCAGUCACCUUCUAGGGGAUUCAGGUAGGACGAAGAGAAAAGCACACCCAGGAAGCUCAGGCCGCGGGCCUGGGUUUGUUCUACCCACUGGGCUGAGCAUGGGGAGAAAUUCAAACCCACAUGGGGUUUUUCAUGGAGGGAGCAGGCUGCUUCUAGAAUAGAGUGCAGAUGGCUUCCGCACUUAGGAGAACCACCACUGGGACAUGCCUCCUGGGCAAGGGGAGCCAGGGACAGGGCUCUGGGAACAGAGCUCCAGGGAGGCCCAGUUUGCUGUCUUCCUGGAAAGGAGGGGUUUCCAGGUUCUUCUCUCCACAUUGUCAGAACUCACAUCCAAAACGUUGCAUUGUGCUUUCCACCUCUUCCUUUUCUGUCUUCUGAAAGAGUCCCGCUGCACACUCCUUAUCGCUUUCAUUUUCACUUGUUUCCAAGAAAAGCUGUCCAUUUUUCUUUACAGACUCAACAGCCAAUGACAGCUAGUGGCACAUAGUACCACAUGCCUGGCACCAUGUUAAACUUUUUAUGUGCAAUUUCAUUUACACCUCACAACAUCCUCAUGGGGAGUUGUCAACUCCACGUGACAGGUGGGGAAAUUAAAACUUGGAGAGGAUAAGUAAUGGGCCCAAGGUCACAAUACAGGUAGCAUGAGGACUCCCUGGGUCUGUCAGAUUUAAGCCUGAGUCCUCAGCCCUGUUUCCUUAAAGUGACAUCACACAUCCCACACAUUAUUACCCUCCUCAUUAUCAACAACCGAGUCCUCCAUGAGCCAAUGUGCCAUCAGCAAUCUGACUAGUUUCACACGAUUCCUGUGGUCUUGACAAUUUAUUGGAAUAAAAAACAUGUAUCACUUAUUGACAGAGCUUUGUGUUCAAGGCACAUUCAUACCCAUUUCCUCAGCAGAA